rnacentral:rRNA from 1 species
GACGAACGCUGGCGGCGUGCUUAACACAUGCAAGUCGAACGGAAAGGCCCAGCUUGCUGGGUGCUCGAGUGGCGAACGGGUGAGUAACACGUGGGUGAUCUGCCCCUAACUUCGGGAUAAGCUUGGGAAACUGGGUCUAAUACCGGAUAGGACAAUCGUUUAGUGUCGGUUGUGGAAAGUUUUUUCGGUUAGGGAUGAGCCCGCGGCCUAUUAGCUUGUUGGUGGGGUAAUGGCCUACCAAGGCGUCGACGGGUAGCCGGCCUGAGAGGGUGGACGGCCACAUUGGGACUGAGAUACGGCCCAGACUCCUACGGGAGGCAGCAGUGGGGAAUAUUGCACAAUGGGCGCAAGCCUGAUGCAGCGACGCCGCGUGGGGGAUGACGGCCUUCGGGUUGUAAACCUCUUUCGACAGGGACGAAGCUUUGGUGACGGUACCUGUAGAAGAAGCACCGGCUAACUACGUG